AACGAACGCUGGCGGCAUGCCUAACACAUGCAAGUCGAACGAGACCUUCGGGUCUAGUGGCGCACGGGUGCGUAACGCGUGGGAACCUGCCCUUAGGUUCGGAAUAACUCCCCGAAAGGGGUGCUAAUACCGGAUAAUGUCUUCGGACCAAAGAUUUAUCGCCUUUGGAUGGGCCCGCGUUGGAUUAGCUAGUUGGUAGGGUAAACGCCUACCAAGGCGACGAUCCAUAGCUGGUCUGAGAGGAUGAUCAGCCACACUGGGACUGAGACACGGCCCAGACUCCUACGGGAGGCAGCAGUGGGGAAUAUUGGACAAUGGGCGAAAGCCUGAUCCAGCAAUGCCGCGUGAGUGAUGAAGGCCUUAGGGUUGUAAAGCUCUUUGACCCGGGAUGAUAAUGACAGUACCGGGAGAAUAAGCUCCGGCUAACUCCGUG
rnacentral:rRNA from 1 species